GUGAAAGGUUGAGAGAAAGAACUGAGUCCAGUUCAGACCGAGGAGCCUGUGACACAGUCAACACCAAUGCCAAGGAGCCAGUGGAUACAGGGGUUGAGGUUGCAGACAUAAACACAGGAUUCAUCAGCAUAUGUGUGGUUUCUGAACCUAUGGGACAGGAUGGCAUCACUCAGGGAAAGAGCACAGAGUCAGAAGAAAAUAUGACCCAAGACCAGGCCUUGAAGAACUCCGAUAUUUAAUGUUUGGGUAGAAGAAAAGGCAAACGAAAGUAUCUGAAAAGAUGGGCCAGAGAAGAGAGAAUCAACCAAGGGGAGAUGGUCCCAGAAGUCAAACAGAAGGGAGUGAUUCGCUGUGAUGAAUGCUGCAGAGGCCAAAUAAGUUUUGCAAUCCCACCCAGGAAAAGAAGACAGCAAGAAGAAGCCACUUUGAGCCCCUAUGAUUUCAUCUUUGAUCCACUCAUCCAGCACUCCAUACUCCUUGAUCCCUACCCACCAAAUUCUCCUUAAAAGCCCUGGUCUCCAAAUGUUCAAGGCGACCGAUUUGAGUAAUAAAACUCUAGUCUCCCAUUUAGCUGGCUGUCUGUGAAUUAAAU
rnacentral:lncRNA from 1 species